rnacentral:lncRNA from 1 species
AGAUGGGACAAGGUAAUUUGAGAACACACAUGAGAACCUGGCACCUGGCAGGACUAAUAAAGAAGAGUUGCUUCCCUCCCUCACUUAAUGCUCUGAGUAAUACAACGGAGAACAGUGGCAGUUCAUUCCAGCCCAGGAGAGAAACAUUUUCUUCCAAUCCUGCUGGAAUGGGGAUUGUGCUGCCAUAAAACAUGACAAAAUCAGAAAAGAAGAAAACAAUGAACAAGCAAACAAACUCCGCUCGGGAUCUGAAAGGAGGCA